CCAAAGGGGNAUGNCGUUAGUACGGCGAGUGAAGCGGCAAAAGCUCAAAUUUGAAAUCUGGCACCUUCGGUGUCCGAGUUGUAAUUUGAAGAAGGUAACUUUGGAGUUGGCUCUUGUCUAUGUUCCUUGGAACAGGACGUCACAGAGGGUGAGAAUCCCGUGCGAUGAGAUGCCCAAUUCUAUGUAAAGUGCUUUCGAAGAGUCGAGUUGUUUGGGAAUGCAGCUCUAAGUGGGUGGUAAAUUCCAUCUAAAGCUAAAUAUUGGCGAGAGACCGAUAGCGAACAAGUACAGUGAUGGAAAGAUGAAAAGAACUUUGAAAAGAGAGUGAAAAAGUACGUGAAAUUGUUGAAAGGGAAGGGCUUGAGAUCAGACUUGGUAUUUUGCGAGCCUUUCCUUCUUGGUUGGGUUCCUCGCAGCUUACUGGGCCGGCAUCGGGUUGGAUGGUAGGAUAAUGACUCAAGAAUGUGGUUCUACAUUUCAGGACUGACACAGCCAGGGGUGGAAAUUCCAGUUUAGACCUUGGGGCGCCACUCUCCCUUACAAAAAGGAUCUCCUGGUGGUUCUCUUCCCCUCCUCUAAGAGAUGACACAAAAA
rnacentral:rRNA from 1 species